rnacentral:lncRNA from 1 species
AUUUUGAAUAAAAAUAGGAAAUGCUGGCACCCUCAAUUAAUGCGAGAAAAAAAAAUUUGUGGUCAUUGAUUUCCAAUAUUGCAGUUAUUUAUAUACUACAGUCCCUCUCGAACUAAAAUUAUAACUGAAUUGCUGUGCAGCUAUAUAGAUUUACAUAAUAAAAAGCAAAUAUGGUAAGUUUUGGUUGAUGCAGUCAAAAGAUUUAAUACACGACUCAGUCUGAAGUAUAAAAACUACUGAUAUUUGUUUAUGAUUCAAUAUUUUGAAUAAAACAAGGACAUGCUCAUUGGAGGAUAAAGGGGAGGGGGUCCAGGGGUUGGAACCCCACUUUUUUUUUUAACAUCAAUGCAAAUGAAUGGGAGCAUAUAGUUGGACACCCAGCCUGGAUCUAGCUGCCCCUGCAUGCUGGCACUAUAAAUUGAUGUGAACAAUUACAUUUUUUUUCCAAAAUUACUGUUACUUGUAUAUAUAUUACAGUCCCUCUAGACCUAAAAUUAAAACUGAAGUACUGUGCAGCUAUAUAGAUUUGCAGAAAGAAAAAGCAAAUAAAGGCAAUUUAGAUUGAUGCGGUCAAAAGAUUUUUGUUAAACCGGUCAGUAGUAGGGAUUGAGCUUUUUUAGGAUACCGUAAAAACGUAAAGUUCUAAGGUUCCAAGAUGGCGGCCAAAAGGGAAUUCCCCGAACUUCAAAAUAGACCCAAACUCCAACAAAAGACGUAUAUGUACUCCCAUAUAAGGUCGUGAUACCGUAAAUUACUUUUAAGGACAUGUUAUUUACCUAAUCGGAUUAUGAGUCAAACGUUUGCAGUUCAUUGCAUCAUAUUUCAACAAAUGAAGGACACGGUUCGACAGAAGAUAGUUCGGGUACAGUCACCCAUCACACUGGCAGUGUCCUUCAAUUUGUUGUAUUCGGAAGGUCUCAAACAAAUUCAUUUUUUGGUCGGUAUGACAUCGGUUUGAUUUGGAGCUACCCAUAUUGUCUAAGGUCUACGCAGAUUGAGUUGUCUUGAACACUGGCCUAGACGUUUCUUCCCAGGUGAGAUUUAAUUUCCCUCUUUUACGUUAUGGCCUGAUCAAUAAUUCGAGACUAAAAAAGCUCAAUCCCUACUACUCAGGUCGUCCGAGGUAUGAAAACUACUCGUAAACAGAUAUUAUAUUGGUUAUUGAGGUCCGAUAAUUUUGUUAUGUGAUAAUGAGCCAUCCUGACUCCCGGAAUAACAAAUGUAAAACAAUUCAAAUAAUAAUGCCCCCCCUAAUACUAACGGCCUAAUUUAUGUACAAAAAUUGAGAGAAAAACAAAAAUUUAUGUACAUUGUAACACAUCAACAAAAGAAAAUCACUGAAUUACAUGCUCCUGACUUGGAACAGGCACAUACAUGCAGAAUAAGGCGGGGUUAACAGGUUAAACAUGUUCUCUAAGGCAGCAACC